CAGAUUGCACUGCUGUCUGUGCGGCACUUGGGAUCCGAGACCGCGGCCGCCCCCCUGGCGGCUUUCCCACGGGGACUUGCUCCUCUCACCGCAGGAAGGACUGCAUUCCACCUGCUACCUGCUUGCGGCCAGCACAGCAGUGCAUGUCUGUACUGGCUGAAGUGAUUAUUAACUCGUUUAAUGUUAGGUAAUACUGGGGUGUAAGUUUGGUCUUGGCUACUAAUUUAUAAAACCUUAUUUU
rnacentral:lncRNA from 1 species